ACGAUGGUUUCCGCCAUUCUUCUAUGCUUUGUUGAAAGUCUUUCUUGUGAGUAUUAUAGUCUCAGACGUGUGUCUGCAACACCCACCACCGCGCCACGCCACGCCACCCCGCCUCACCUGGGACCAUCCCAUUAUCUCUCUAAAUUGAAGAAAGAGAGAAAGAGAAAGCGCGCGUGCGUGAGAGAGAAAGAGAAAACAAUACUAACAACAAAGUCAUGAUGUGGGAAGCUGGAGAAUCGCCAGCAUCUUCCUCCGCCGGCGCCGGCGCAGGUGGAAGUGGAGGAGGUGAUGGAGUUGGCCUACCGGGAAGUGGUGGUGGUGGGAGGAGGAAACCAUCAUGGAGAGAAAGAGAGAAUAAUAGAAGAAGAGAGAGAAGGAGGAGAGCUGUAGCUGCUAAGAUUUAUACUGGAUUAAGAGCUCAAGGAAACUAUAAUCUUCCUAAACACUGUGAUAACAAUGAAGUUCUUAAAGCUCUUUGUACUGAAGCUGGUUGGAUCGUUGAACCUGAUGGUACCACUUAUCGCAAGGGAUGCAAGCCAACCCCGAUGGAGAUUGGAGGCACUUCAGCAAACAUCACACCAAGUUCUUCACGGCAUCCAAGUCCCCCGUCAUCAUACUUUGCUAGCCCAAUUCCAUCUUAUCAGCCGAGUCCAACUUCCUCUUCUUUCCCCAGUCCAUCCCGUGCUGAUGCUAACAUGUCAUCACACCCAUAUUCUUUUCUCCAUAAUGUCAUUCCUUCAUCCCUUCCUCCAUUACGAAUAUCAAACAGUGCCCCUGUAACGCCACCUCUUUCAUCACCAACUAGGCAUCCUAAGCAGACAUUCAAUUUAGAGACUUUGGCCAAAGAAUCAAUGUUUGCUUUAAACAUCCCUUUCUUUGCUGCUUCAGCCCCAGCUAGCCCAACUCGGGGUCAGCGUUUUACUCCUCCCACUAUACCUGAGUGUGACGAAUCUGACUCAUCUACCAUUGAUUCCGUCCAGUGGAUCAACUUUCAAAAGUAUGCGACAAACGUUCCACAUUCUCCAACAUUUAAUCUUGUAAAACCUGUGCCUCAGCCACUACGUCCUAAUGAUAUGGUCACAGACAAGGGUAAGAGCAUAGACUUUGACUUUGAAAAUGUAUCGGUCAAGGCAUGGGAAGGUGAAAGGAUUCACGAUGUAGGAUUCGAUGAUCUGGAACUCACUCUUGGAAGUGGCAGUGCUCGCAUAUGAUUGGGAUUCUCUGAUUUAGUUAGCUGAUGAAGGCACUUUGUGUUCCAGUGGAUUGUACGAGCUUCGUCUGGGACUAUGCAUCUUGUUAUCAGAUCCCUGAAAAGGGAUGAAUAGGGCUUUGAUAAGAACCAAAUGGUUGUGUUUCAUUCCAAUUUGUGAUAACACUGACUAAAAGUGACGACAUUCACCAGAAAGUACAAGUAGCAAACACUGAAAAUAAUAUAAGAAAACUUCACUUGAGAUGGUUUGGCAAUGAUCUAAAAUGGUGAAUCAAGGUGAUCAAGUAGAGACCUAAAAUCACACACAAGGAGUUGUCUUGAAAUACCUACAAUAUUUUGCAGACUCAGUGAAAGUUUUGCGUGGGAUAAAUAAAUGAAGGAUCUGCCUGAGUCCCUUGAUAGCGUGUUGUGUUGGUAGAUAAGAACCUUAACAACUAUGUAUAGUAACUGUGAGACUUGCAAAUACCUUCAUUUUCAUCACGUAUUAUCAUGUGUAAUUUCACCAAAUUUGGACCUUCGCCUUACUUGGUAGCAUGUUGCAUUCUUACCU